UUGGAGGGCAAGUCUGGUGCCAGCAGCCGCGGUAAUUCCAGCUCCAAUAGCGUAUAUUAAAGUUGUUGCAGUUAAAAAGCUCGUAGUUGAAUUUCGGGAUCAAUAUGUCGGUCGUGCCUCGGUACGCACUGGCAUCAUUGGUUUCUCCCUUCUGAUGAACCAUGAUGCCAUUAAUUUGGUGUCGUGGGGAAUCAGGACUGUUACUCUGAAAAAAUUAGAGUGUUUAAAGCAGGCUCACGCUUGAAUACAUUAGCAUGGAAUAAUGAAAUAGGACGUUUGAUUCUAUUUUGUUGGUUUCUAGGAUCGACGUAAUGAUUAAUAGGGAUAGUUGGGGGCAUUAGUAUUCAAUUGUCAGAGGUGAAAUUCUUGGAUUUAUUGAAGACUAACUACUGCGAAAGCAUUUGCCAAGGAUGUUUUCAUUAAUCAAGAACGAAAGUUAGGGGAUCGAAGACGAUCAGAUACCGUCGUAGUCUUAACCAUAAACUAUGCCGACUAGGGAUCGGAUGAUGUUAAUUUUUUAAUGACUCAUUCGGCGCCUUACGGGAAACCAAAGUGUUUGGGUUC
rnacentral:rRNA from 1 species